AUUUCUUUCUGUGUAGCGGUCAAAAGAAGUCUGAACCAAGGAUUCUGAUCCGACAGAUGCAAAUAAAAUAAAGAGCGCAGGCAAGCGAGAGAGGAAGCGAUAUUAACCAGCUGUUGCUGCGCCCCGCACCUGAAAUCCACAACAACAACAACGACCAUAAAACACCAACAGCCGAGGCCGCACGCACAAGGAUAACCCACUAAAAGAAGAAAAAACCAAAUCGAUGACUCAUGAACAGGAACCGAAAUGUUUACAAAAAUAGAACAUAUGCCAAAACGAAACAGCGCCGGAGGAAAAGAGAGGGGUGAGAAGUGCCGUUGGCGGCGCAAUAAAUAGCAACAAUAAGAAGCCAACAGAAAAAUCGAUGCGGCUGUACCGUUCACCCAACCAUCCAUCCAUCCACCCACCCACCACCACCUAUCGCCCACCCACUCUCUCGCCAUCUCGCUCUCUGUGUUCCACAUUGCAUUGUGAACGAACAACGAAACGUAAUGGCGAUGAGUCAUCAUCGAGCCAGGGCACAGUGGUGGCCAAAAAUACAUUAACACUCGGGCAGCGCAGGAGGCGCGUCGACGACACAACCCUUAUCAGAAAGGACGUUUGCGGUUGGCUGGUUGGGUUAGCUAGCCUUGUUGUUGGUGCUGCAAUCUGCAUAAAGUUUCCAUUGCCCGUGCAAACUUGUCUGCACCGACAAAAACGGCUAUAGUUGUGGCUCCUAUUAUCAUAUUCUACCGAGUUUACUCUAUGAUAAACUUUUAUCUACAAAGAUCGACCUUCGCAAGGCUAUAGCUUUCAAGUAACUCAGGCGUUUCGUUAAGAUUAGACAGAAUAUUAUACCAUCUUACGUUUUAAAAAAUAUUGAAGCACCAAAUCUCAGGUGGAACUAAAUGAUGUGGCCAAAGUCGCAACACAGUUACGGCAGCAACAACAAUGCGACGACGACGCCGCUGCCGCCAUGCUGUCUGCCAACGCCAACACGCAACAGCAACAACAAUGCGACGACCAAGAAGAAGAAGGGACAGAGGACGGAAGGAGCGAAGGAGGCGAUGAAGAGAGGCGAAUGGAUAAGCGUAGGAGAAGUCACAACAAAAACUUUUUGAGGUGGAAGGAGCAUUGCUCCUUAUCAACGCACCCCAAUUGCCUCCAUGGGAGCGAGGGAGUUGGAUAGAUAUGUACAUGUAUUCCACGUUGGAAAUUACUUUGACUUGAGCUUUGCUUUGAAAUUUUUUACGGUUUACUCC
rnacentral:lncRNA from 1 species